rnacentral:rRNA from 1 species
UUUCUGAGAAUUUGAUCUUGGUUCAGAUUGAACGCUGGCGGCGUGGAUGAGGCAUGCAAGUCGAACGGAACGGUUUUAUAGCUGUUUAGUGGCGGAAGGGUUAGUAAUGCAUAGAUAAUUUGUCUUUAACUUGGGAAUAACGGUUGGAAACGGCCGCUAAUACCGAAUGUGGCACCAUUUAGGCAUCUAGAUGGUGUUAAAGAAGGGGAUCUUCGGACCUUUCGGUUAAAGGGGAGUCUAUGUGAUAUCAGCUAGUUGGUGGGGUAAAGGCCUACCAAGGCUAUGACGUCUAGGCGGAUUGAGAGAUUGACCGCCAACACUGGGACUGAGACACUGCCCAGACUCCUACGGGAGGCUGCAGUCGAGAAUCUUUCGCAAUGGACGGAAGUCUGACGAAGCGACGCCGCGUGUGUGAUGAAGGCUCUAGGGUUGUAAAGCACUUUCGCUUGGGAAUAAGAGAAGGCGGUUAAUACCCGCCGGAUUUGAGCGUACCAGGUAAAGAAGCACCGGCUAACUCCGUGCCAGCAGCUGCGGUAAUACGGAGGGUGCUAGCGUUAAUCGGAUUUAUUGGGCGUAAAGGGCGUGUAGGCGGAAGAGUAAGUUGGUUGUCAAAUCUCGGGGCUCAACCCCGAAUCGGCAUCUGAUACUAUUUUUCUAGAGGGUAGAUGGAGAAAAGGGAAUUUCACGUGUAGCGGUGAAAUGCGUAGAUAUGUGGAAGAACACCAGUGGCGAAGGCGCUUUUCUAAUUUACACCUGACGCUAAGGCGCGAAAGCAAGGGGAGCAAACAGGAUUAGAUACCCUGGUAGUCCUUGCCGUAAACGAUGCAUACUUGAUGUGGAUGGUCUCAACCCCAUCCGUGUCGGAGCUAACGCGUUAAGUAUGCCGCCUGAGGAGUACACUCGCAAGGGUGAAACUCAAAAGAAUUGACGGGGGCCCGCACAAGCAGUGGAGCAUGUGGUUUAAUUCGAUGCAACGCGAAGGACCUUACCUGGGUUUGACAUGCAUAUGACCGCGGCAGAAAUGUCGUUUUCCGCAAGGACAUAUGCACAGGUGCUGCAUGGCUGUCGUCAGCUCGUGCCGUGAGGUGUUGGGUUAAGUCCCGCAACGAGCGCAACCCUUAUCGUUAGUUGCCAGCACUUAGGGUGGGAACUCUAACGAGACUGCCUGGGUUAACCAGGAGGAAGGCGAGGAUGACGUCAAGUCAGCAUGGCCCUUAUGCCCAGGGCGACACACGUGCUACAAUGGCCAGUACAGAAGGUAGCAAGAUCGUGAGAUGGAGCAAAUCCUUAAAGCUGGCCCCAGUUCGGAUUGUAGUCUGCAACUCGACUACAUGAAGUCGGAAUUGCUAGUAAUGGCGUGUCAGCCAUAACGCCGUGAAUACGUUCCCGGGCCUUGUACACACCGCCCGUCACAUCAUGGGAGUUGGUUUUACCUUAAGUCGUUGACUCAACCCGCAAGGGAGAGAGGCGCCCAAGGUGAGGCUGAUGACUAGGAUGAAGUCGUAACAAGGUAGCCCUACCGGAAGGUGGGGCUGGAUCACCUCCUUU